rnacentral:rRNA from 1 species
GACGAACGCUGGCGGCGUGCUUAACACAUGCAAGUCGAGCGAUGAGAUCCCUUCGGGGAUGGAUUAGCGGCGAACGGGUGAGGAACACGUGAGGAAUCUGCCUUCUACUCUGGGAUAACUCCGGGAAACCGGGGCUAAUACCGGAUAUGAAACUUGGUGGCAUCACCGAGUUUGGAAAGUUUUUCGGUAGAAGAUGACCUCGCGGCCUAUCAGCUUGUUGGUGAGGUAAUGGCUCACCAAGGCGACGACGGGUAGCCGGCCUGAGAGGGCGACCGGCCACACUGGGACUGAGACACGGCCCAGACUCCUACGGGAGGCAGCAGUGGGGAAUAUUGGGCAAUGGAGGAAACUCUGACCCAGCGACGCCGCGUGCGGGAUGAAGGCCUUCGGUGUAAACCGCUUUCAGCAGGGAAGAAGCGAAAGUGACGGUACCUGCAGAAGAAGCACCGGCUAACUAUGUGCCAGCAGCCGCGGUAAU